UAUCUAGAAGAUGGCGUGCUCGUACCAC
rnacentral:piRNA from 1 species